AUGGUGGGUCGGAACAGCGCCGUCGCCACCAGUGUUUGCAGAGCCCUUUUUAUUGGGUUCUGCAUCUACUUCAACUGCAAAAGACGAAGUGAAGAACAGGCUUCCAGAAUGAAGAAAGAAACAGAAGCUUGCCAAGGAGAGAGCUGGGCUUUCCAAGUUACCUGACCUUAAAGAUGCUGAAGCUGUUCAGAAGUUCUUCCUUGAAGAAAUACAGCUUGGUGAAGAGUUACUAGCUCAAGGUGAAUAUGAGAAGGGCGUAGACCAUCUCACAAAUGCAAUUGCUGUGUGUGGACAGCCACAGCAGUUAUUGCAGGUCUUACAGCAAACUCUUCCACCACCAGUGUUCCAGAUGCUUCUGACUAAGCUCCCAACAAUUAGUCAGAGAAUUGUAAGUGCUCAGAGCUUGGCUGAAGAUGAUGUGGAAUGAGAAACAAAUGUCAACAUAAUAAAAUCUCAGUUAAAAAUAUUUU